UACGUAGGGUGCAAGCGUUAAUCGGAAUUACUGGGCGUAAAGCGUGCGCAGGCGGUUAUGCAAGACAGAUGUGAAAUCCCCGGGCUUAACCUGGGAACCGCAUUUGUGACUGCAUCGCUGGAGUGCGGCAGAGGGGGAUGGAAUUCCGCGUGAAGCAGUGAAAUGCGUAGAUAUGCGGAGGAACACCGAUGGCGAAGGCAAUCCCCUGGGCCUGCACUGACGCUCAUGCACGAAAGCGUGGGGAGCAAACAGG
rnacentral:rRNA from 1 species